GGCCCUGCGGCGCACCUGGGGAGCGCGCAGUUGAUCACUGUUGUUGCUGGUUCGAGUCCAGCCGGGGCCA
rnacentral:tRNA from 1 species